rnacentral:tRNA from 1 species
UGGAGUGUGGAUCAGUGGUAGAGCAUUUGUCUAGCAUGUGUAAGGCACUGGGUUCAACUCUCAGCACUGCAU